rnacentral:rRNA from 1 species
AUUGAACGCUGGCGGCAGGCCUAACACAUGCAAGUCGAGCGGACGAAGGGAGCUUGCUCCUGGAUUCAGCGGCGGACGGGUGAGUAAUGCCUAGGAAUCUGCCUGGCAGUGGGGGAUAACGUCCGGAAACGGGCGCUAAUACCGCAUACGUCCUGAGGGUGAAAGUGGGGGAUCUUUGGACCUCACGCUAUUAGAUGAGCCUUGGUCGGAUUAGCUAGUUGGUUGGGUAAAGGCCUACCAAGGCGACGAUCCGUAGCUGACCUGAGAGGGUGAUCAGUCACACUGGAACUGAGACACGGUCCAGACUCCUACGGGAGGCAGCAGUAGGGAAUCUUGCGCAAUGGGCGAAAGCCUGAUCCAGCCACGCCGCGUGAGUGAAGAAGGUCUUCGGAUUGUAAAACUCUUUUAGUUGGGAAGAAGAAAAGUGUAAUUAAAUCUUGACGUUUUGACGUUACCAACAGAAAAAGCACCGGCUAACUUCGUG